GACAAGUGUAUAUAACGAAAAUAUUGAAAAUUGGAAGACUACAAGGAAGUCACAGGCCAUUAAAGAGGAAUGAAAUCACUUCAAACAAAACUACGUUAAAAAGAGGCAAAGAAAGCCCCCAUAUCUAAUAUCCUCAUGCCCAG
rnacentral:lncRNA from 1 species